CCUACGGGAGGCAGCAGUGGGGAAUAUUGGGCAAUGGGCGCAAGCCUGACCCAGCAACGCCGCGUGAAGGAAGAAGGCUUUCGGGUUGUAAACUUCUUUUGUCAGGGACGAAGCAAGUGACGGUACCUGACGAAUAAGCUACGGCUAACUUCGUGCUAGAGCCCGCGGUAGUACGGAGUUGGCAGGCGUUAUCCGGAUUUACCGGGUGAAAAGGGCGUGUAGGCGGGACUGCAAGUCAGAUGUGAAAUCCACGGGCUCAAGCUGUGACCUGCAUUUGAAACUGUAGUUCUUGAGUGCUGGGGAGGCGGGCGGAAUGCGUGGUGUAGCGGUGAAAUGCAUAGAUAUUAGGAAGAACACCAAUGGCGAAGGCAGUCUACUGAACAGCGACUGACGCUGAGGCGCGAAAGCGUGGGGAGCAAACAGGAUUAGAUACCCUUGUAGUC
rnacentral:rRNA from 1 species